ACUCCUACGGGAGGCAGCAGUAGGGAAUAUUAGAAAUGGACGAAAGUCUGAUCUAGCAACACCGCGUGUGCGAAGAAGGCCUUCGGGUCGUAAAGCACUUUUUGGAAGGAAUAGGAAGGAAUGUACUUCCAGAAUAAGUCUCGGCUAACUACGUGCCAGCAGCCGCGGUAACACGUAGGAGGCAAACGUUAUCCGGAUUUACUGGGCGUAAAGCGCGUGUAGGUGGUACUGUAAGUAGGGCGUGAAAGCUCCUGGCUCAACUGGGAGAGGCCGUUCUAAACUACAGAACUAGAGGAUGGUAGAGGGAGGUGGAAUUCCAGGUGUAGCGGUGGAAUGCGCAGAUAUCUGGAGGAACACCGGUGGCGAAGGCGGCCUCCUGGACCAUUCCUGACACUCAGACGCGAAAGCUAGGGUAGCAAACGGGAUUAGAGACCCCGGUAGUCCUAGCCCUAAACGAUGUAGACUAGGCGUCGGAAGCUUAAUCGCUUUCGGUGUCCAAGCUAACGCGAUAAGUCUACCGCCUGGGGACUACGGCCGCAAGGUUAAAACUCAAAGGAAUUGACGGU
rnacentral:rRNA from 1 species